rnacentral:lncRNA from 1 species
CUAUUUUGACCCGGGUCUAAAGGGCCGAAUUACAAACGGGCCUAUGUGGCCCAAACCAAACAGAGGCUCAAAAUUAAUCAGGCCCAAAAACAAUAGACAGAAACCCUAGAGUUUCUAAGGAAAUCUUCUCGCGCCGCAACCAGGAUCUUCGCACGAGCCGCGUCCCCGUACCUACACAUCAAGAAAGCAAACGGCAGUAUAUGGAAAGAAAAGAUUGCGAAUCAAAGAAAACAGAUUUGAUUUCUUUAUGAUAUUGUUAGAACGUCUAUUAAAAAAAAAGGCCAUUGAUAUACUAAAAGAGAAGAAAGGACAUAAAAGAGAAACAAAAUACAAAUACAAAAUUUUCUUUUUGAUAGAAAAGGUUUUUUUUCUCUCUGUUUUACCUUGUUGAUUAUCGUUCUUUUAUUUUUCAUUUAUAUAUAUAUUUUAUUUUUUUUAUAUUUUCUCUAUUUUUUUAAUUUUUGCCUAAAUAAAAGAAGAAAAGGAAGAGAAAACUUACCUUUUCGCCGGAAUCGCCGAGUUGGUGCCCUCUCCGUCGCGAUUGGAGAUCGGGGCAUCGACGGAGGCCAUGGGGAUGGCUUGAACGGCGGCAGUAUAUGAACAUGAAACCCUAGCAGAGUGAUUC